AUGAUAAUUUUAAAACUUUUUCAAAAUCACUAUUUUACAGUGAAAAUUAUUAAUUAAUCUAAUUAAUUAAUAAAAAUUUAUCCUACACUAAGAUCUAAAUAUGAUAUAUAGCAUGCAUGCAUUUAAAUUUGAAAUUCAAAUUUGAACAGUAAACACUUUACUGUAAUGUGUUCAGAACACAAUACCUUUGUGCGGGUAGUAGAUCGCCACAAUCUGAUCACCAUCGGGAGAGUCUGAUAGUCGCAAUGCAGCCACACAGUGUGUCUGGCCUCU
rnacentral:lncRNA from 1 species